rnacentral:rRNA from 1 species
AUUAGAUACCCUGGUAGUCCACACAGUAAACGAUGAAUACUCGCUGUUUGCGAUAUACGGCAAGCGGCCAAGCGAAAGCAUUAAGUAUUCCACCCGGGGAGUACGCCGGCAACGGUGAAACUCAAAGGAAUUGACGGGGGCCCGCACAAGCGGAGGAACAUGUGGUUUAAUUCGAUGAUACGCGAGGAACCUUACCCGGGCUUAAAUUGCACCUGAAUAACGUGGAAACAUGUUAGCCGCAAGGCAGGUGUGAAGGUGCUGCAUGGUUGUCGUCAGCUCGUGCCGUGAGGUGUCGGCUUAAGUGCCAUAACGAGCGCAACCCUUAUCUUCAGUUACUAACAGGUUAUGCUGAGGACUCUGGAGAGACUGCCGUCGUAAGAUGUGAGGAAGGUGGGGAUGACGUCAAAUCAGCACGGCCCUUACGUCCGGGGCUACACACGUGUUACAAUGGGGGGUACAGAAGGCCGCUACCUGGUGACAGGAUGCUAAUCCCAAAAACCUCUCUCAGUUCGGAUCGAAGUCUGCAACCCGACUUCGUGAAGCUGGAUUCGCUAGUAAUCGCGCAUCAGCCAUGGGCGCGGUGAAUUACGUUCCCGGGCCUUGUACACACCGNCCCGUCAAGCCAUGAAAGCCCGGGGGUACCCUGAAGUACGUAACCGCAAGGAGCGUCCUAGGGUAAAACUGGUAAUUGGGGCUAAGUCGUAACAAGGUAAACCGAAUUUCA